rnacentral:misc_RNA from 1 species
GAUAAUUAGGGGGUUAGAAUUCAAUAAUUAGGGGGUUAGAAUGAUGAUGUUAAUCCUUUGUAAGGAUAAAAGGAAUGUUUGAUAUUUCACUAUUACGGGUUGCCCAAGAACACAAAUACAUGAGAUGACCCUUCAGUGAAUAGGUGUUGUGUAAUAGGUAUUUAAGGGGUUAAUAUGAAUACUAAAGUUGUGAUAUUCUCAGGGGGGAUUUUUGUCCUAUAAAUAUGAGUGCCUUGAAGAGGACUCUCCAUCGGGUCUCAAUCUAAUAUUCGGGAUACUUUGGGAAGAAC